GUAUACGUGCGCCUGCUCUACCCACUGAGCCAACCCGGCCACAAUGUCCCUUCUGAGUCUGCAUCUUCAUAAGCAUACCAUUGUGAAGUAAAAUCAUAUCCCACACAGAGAGAGGAGGCAGACUGAAGCAAAAUCGUGCCUGAACUACAACCCCUCUGGUGCCAUGGCAACGAAGAAGUGAAAAGGGUGACUUGUGAACAGGAACCAGCAGCGUCCAUUGUGGAUUUCUUUUAUCCCGAGGCCACUGGGACGCGAACAGUUCUGUCUCUCUCUACGUGGGAUCUUUUGUCCUCUUCACCUUCUCAAUAAUUCAAUGGAAAGAGGAGACGUCAGCUCUGGUAUAAUUACUGUGUGAGGGUGCCAAGCUUCUCUGUCAAGGGCAAGAUGGGACCAAGCUUUAAAGUACUGGAGAGGGCUAAAAGACGCAGCAACAACGUGCACCGUGGCGCUGUCGAUGACAAAAGCUUCAGCUGCCGGGCAGAUGAUGAAACUGCAGGUUCAUGGGUGGAGCGAAGUCAGCGCAACUGGGAGCACGUGGUCAGUCUCCCAGGAGUUGUUAAGAUUUGCCUUUCAACCCGCUCAGUCUCCAUCCUCCAUCCAUCCUGGUUGGCUUCGUCCUGGUUAAUAGCUAGGUUUACACUUUACAACACUUUGCGUUCAUCAUUCACUCAUCAGUCUGCUGCCAC